GCAAGUCGAGCGCGAAAAGUCUUCGUACUGAGUAGAGCGGCGAACGGGUGAGUAACGCGUAAGAAUCUACCCUGUGGUGGGGGACAACCUAGGGAAACCCAAGCUAAUACCGCAUCCGCCCCAAGGGGGAAAGCGGGGGCUCUCUUCGGAGACCUCGCGCCAUUGGAUGAGCCUGCGUCGGAUUAGCUAGUUGGUGGGGUAAAGGCCUACCAAGGCGACGAUCCGUAGCUGGUCUGAGAGGACGAUC
rnacentral:rRNA from 1 species